GGAAUAUUGCACAAUGGGCGAAAGCCUGAUGCAGCAACGCCGCGUGAGCGAUGAAGGCCUUCGGGUCGUAAAGCUCUGUCCUCAAGGAAGAUAAUGACGGUACUUGAGGAGGAAGCCCCGGCUAACUACGUGCCAGCAGCCGCGGUAAUACGUAGGGGGCUAGCGUUAUCCGGAUUUAUUGGGCGUAAAGAGAACGCAGGCGGUCUUUUAAGUCUGAUGUGAAAGGCUACGGCUCAACCGUAGUAAGCCUUUGAAACUGGGAAACUUGAGUGCAGGAGAGGAGAGUGGAAUUCCUAGUGUAGCGGUGAAAUGCGUAGAUAUUAGGAGGAACACCAGUUGCGAAGGCGGCUCUCUGGACUGUAACUGACACUGAGGCACGAAAGCGUGGGGAGC
rnacentral:rRNA from 1 species